rnacentral:rRNA from 1 species
GGGAACUGUGAGACAGGUGCUGCAUGGCUGUCGUCAGCUCGUGUUGUGAAAUGUUGGGUUAAGUCCCGCAACGAGCGCAACCCUUAUCCUUUGUUGCCAGCGGUCCGGCCGGGAACUCAAAGGAGACUGCCAGUGAUAAACUGGAGGAAGGUGGGGAUGACGUCAAGUCAUCAUGGCCCUUACGACCAGGGCUACACACGUGCUACAAUGGCGCAUACAAAGAGAAGCGACCUCGCGAGAGCAAGCGGACCUCAUAAAGUGCGUCGUAGUCCGGAUUGGAGUCUGCAACUCGACUCCAUGAAGUCGGAAUCGCUAGUAAUCGUGGAUCAGAAUGCCACGGUGAAUACGUUCCCGGGCCUUGUACACACCGCCCGUCACACCAUGGGAGUGGGUUGCAAAAGAAGUAGGUAGCUUAACCUUCGGGAGGGCGCUUACCACUUUGUGAUUCAUGACUGGGGUGAAGUCGUAACAAGGUAACCGUAGGGGAACCUGC